rnacentral:rRNA from 1 species
CAGGGGGCGAGCGUCGUCCGGAAUCACUGGGCGUAAAGGGCACGCAGGCUGUGAUUCAAGUCAGCUGUAAAAGGAUGCGGCUUAACCGUGUUUAGCAGUUGAAACUGGAUGACUGGAGUGCUGGAGAGGCAAGUGGAAUCCCCAGUGUAGCGGUGAAAUGCGUAGAUAUUGGGAAGAACAUCGGUGGCGAAGGCGACUUGCUGGCCAGUAACUGACGCUGAGGUGCGAAAGCCAGGGUAGCAAACGGGAUUAGAUACCCCGGUAGUCCUGGCUGUAAACGAUGAAUGCUAGGUGUGCGAGCAGAGAUGUUGGUGUGCCGCAGUUAACGCGAUAAGCAUUCCGCCUGGGGAGUACGGUCGCAAGAUUGAAACUCAAAGGAAUUGACGGGGGCCCGCACAAG